UUUAUUAUGAAAAUAGCGAUGGGACCAUAUCCGGUUGAUAAAACCCAUAAUAUCCGGUUGUUAAUAUUAACCCAAUAAAAAACUAAGCGCCACCUUUUUGUGUUUUUCCCUCGUUUUUUCACCCAAAACCGUUCCUGUUCUCUCAAAACCCUCACUAUGAGCGCAAACUCAAAACCUAGCCACUAUCCCUCUCCCUCUUCUCUGUCUCUGUGUAUGUGUGAGAGAGAAACUCAAUUUUCUCCGCCUCCAUCUGCCGCAGGGACUCUGUCCUAAUGAAUCAUCCAUUAAAAUGGUUAGGAUUGAGACAAUUGACUUGCUUGACUCGAUGGAAUGAGUGAACUUGCCGGGAUCGUGCUCAAGGAGGAGUAGCUGGUAAUUAUUGUUGCGUCACUAGCCCACAGUCGCCAUGUUGGUUCAAAACGAGUUUGUUAGGCGCUUGAAAAUGUGUGGAGAUUAUCAUAUUUAUUAUCGAUCUAUGAUUACUUCUCCAUUGAGCUUCAAAUAUGAUUCAGUUAAAUAGGCAUAGCUGCAUGUAGCCUUAUCAAUCAAAUAUGCACCAGGAAGUUGACAGAGUUCUUAUAUAUGAUAGAAUGCAUAUAAAGACAUCACUUUUGCCAUCUCUACCAGCAGGAGUUACCAAUAUGACGAGGACACCUCUGGAACCAAACCAGCCAGCAGUGGAUAGGACACAAGAAGACUGUCAACCAACCAGAACUGCUUCGUGAACGUAAACUAAAAUUAAGAAUUACAGUCUACAAGCUGGAGUCUGAAGAACCCCGCCACCCUUGAAGAAAGUGCAGAACAAUGGAAGCAAUUGGAGAUGUUAAAGAAUAACUUGAAGCACAGGAGGGGCCUACUUAGAUUUUGUUACAAUCUGUUUAGACAUGUCACAUGUGUAGAAACUGCAAUUUAAAUCUAUUGUUGGAGUUGAGCAAAUAUAAUUUCAUGUAAUCUGAAUGUGUAUAAUUUUUUUUAGUAAUGUGAUGAUUUAAUUCCUUU